AACCCGCCUGCAUGAAGUCGGAAUUGCUAGUAAUCGCGGAUCAGCGUGCCGCGGUGAAUACGUUCCCGGGCCUUGUACACACCGCCCGUCACACCAUGGGAGCCGGUAAUACCCGAAGUCAGUAGUCCAACCUCGUGAGGACGCUGCCGAAGGUAGGAUUGGCGACUGGGGUGAAGUCGUAACAAGGUAAC
rnacentral:rRNA from 1 species